rnacentral:lncRNA from 1 species
AUGCUCAGGAAACAAUUGGGGCACUUUGAGCCACAAGGACUGCGGGCAAGCUCUGCCCAGAUUGCUGGGGAAGGAGUAGUGGGGAGACCCAGAAAUCACACUGACAUUACUGAAGCCAUCACCUCACACCUGGGAGAGUCACAAGACCAACCAUUUUCUUCUUGCCCCCCGGCAUGCCUGGAGACCAAAGCCUUUCAAGGGUUGCUAAUCCCUCAGCAAAGGCAGAACAGGAGGAAAUGGCAUUUCUCUAAGCUAAGGGUUUUUUCCCCCCCAGACUUACAAGGAAAAAAAUCGGAGAAAAAAAAUUGAGAAAACUAUGAACACUUAUUUUCUAAGGGCAUUUCUCUUUCAGGGUAAAAAUAACAUAAUGCUCCCUGGCCUCUGUGUCUACCAUCAAGAGAUGAUGGCCUCACCUCUACCAUCUUCCCUGAGGAACCCCUAAGAACGGCCGAGAGUUCGCUGGACCUUGUGUGUGCCAUUGUCGUAAGGGGAGAUCUGGGUGGCUUUGAAAUGUGCCCUGUUUCUGCUAUUUACUUAGGGAAGCACACUGAGUUGUCUUUCUCCCUAGCCAGUGAAUAAAAUCUGAAAGUAUUAAAUUUAAUGUGUAAGACCGAGAAGUAUGAAACCUGAUAUUUGUGUGUCCCAGCAAGCAUUACCUAACACUACAUCAAGGCUGAUUUCCAGAGACUGUCAGUACCUAAAAGGAUGCUCUACUCUGGCCACAGAAAAGCAGUUUUAAUAUCGAGUCAUUCUGAUGAAGGCUUCGUGAGAAAAUGAGGUGUGCUUCAGUUCCCAGAACCUCAGAGCUGGGAAACAGCAACUCCUUAGAGUAGGGGUUGCCAAAGUUUUUCUGUCAAGGAGUUGACAUUUUAGGCUUUGUGGGUGGAGGCAAAAUUGAGCAACUAUUCUCACUGAAAGCACUUUUUUACAUUUUACAAUUUAAGUUUAAAAUGCAAAAACUGUAAUUAGCUCUCAGGCUGUACAAAACUUGCGGCAGUCUGGAUUUGAGCAGCAGGUGGAUCUUCCGAGUCCCUCUGUAGCGGCCUCAUGGGUGCCUGUCUGUACUUAGCGUAUAUUCCUCUAAGCUACAGGAAACUCACCACCUCCCAAGGUCACUGAAUCUGUUUUAAAGGAGGCUAAAACACUUUUUUAUACUGAGCUAGAAUUUGCCUACUGCAUAUUAUAACUGAAGAAUUACUUUAAGAACUGAUUUAAAUUAUUUUAAGAAUUGAUUUAAAUUUCUAGAAAUAGUUUUUGUUGGAAAUUAUUCUCUAUUACCUAUUCUCCUGCCUAGUAGCCAUGUUGCAAAGUGGUCUUCGUGUGUUUGAGUCAUUAGGAAAAUAAAUUACGGUAUUGUGCUGUAAUGCAAAGAAACCCUCGAGACCACUGGGGUUUACUAAUCUAUUUGCCUUUAUACUAAAUGUCUCCACUGCCCUGCUCUAUGAAUUCUUGUUUCUUUUUUUCAGUUUUUCUACCUGAUUACUUAUUACAGGGAUGCUAUCCGUGUCUCUUCUUAUUGUUGUCUGUGUGCCUACUGAAACAGUUCACCUCCUAAUUAAAUGUUUCUCAUCGGCCGGGUGCGGCGCGGUGGCUCACGCCUGUAAUCCCAGCACUUUGGGAGGCCGAGGCGGGUGGAUCACGAGGUCAAGAGAUCGAGACCAUCCUGGUCAACAUGGUGAAACCCCAUCUCUACUAAAAAUACGAAAAAAUUAGCUGGGCAUGGUGGCGCGUGCCUGUAAUCCCAGCUACCCGGGAAGCUGAGGCAGGAGAAUUGCCCGAACCCAGGAGGUGGAGGUUGUGGUGAGCCGAGAUCGCGCCAUUGCACUCCAGCCUGGGUAACAAGAGCGAAACUCCGUCUCAAAAUAAAUAAAUAAAUAAAUAAAAUGUUUCUCAUCUUCCCUUAUCUAAAAGUAGCUCUCCAUAAGAAAAGACCCCAGGAGCCCUGGGGCCUUUGGUAUUUGACGCGAGAACUUUCAUCAAUUAAAGUAUUUAAACCACUUGGAGGCUCGCUCUUUCACUGUCUCUGUCUCUCUCUCACACCCCCUCAAUACUAGGCAGGCUUUUGAGUAAAUGUGAAAGUUUUCUAAAAGUUAUUAUUACCAUCUGUGAAUUUUGCUGACUACAAAUUCCUUGAGGGCAAGCGACUUCCUUUGAACUUCACGGCUUUAGAUCCCAAGCCAGUGCUUCGCAUACAGUAGAAGUUGGAUAAACGGUUCUGAAAGAAUAAGAGGUUUGAGGGUCGUGCUAAUUUGAUUUGCUUCAGCAUAGCUCAACUUUUAGUGGAGGUUUAUUGUGUUUGUUUUAUUAACACUACGAUUAGGGCUAUUAAAUAAUAUAGCUUAGAAACUAAAAGAAAUCAACCCUCAGGGGUAUCAUUUGAUAUAAAUAGAGGCAGGCAAUUUCCAGUAUGAUCUCUAGUUCUGCAGACCCAACUCGGGCUCUCGUGAAACCUGAACCUAUGGGAUUUAUGUAAAUGUGAACAGGCUGCCCUGGGCUCGUGGAUCAGCUGUGUAGAAGUGGCCUGUUUGUCGUUCAGAUGUUGGGAGGUAACAGUGAGCUUUAACUAAUUACACCUCAAAUCACCCCCAGGAGGUAGGUAAUGAUUAUAGAUGUACUUGGCUGAAGUAAC